UGGGGAAUUUUGCACAAUGGGGGAAACCCUGAUGCAGCGACGCCGCGUGAUUUAGAAGGCCUUCGGGUUGUAAAAAUCUUUUCUAUGGGAAGAAAAUGACAGUACCAUAGGAAUAAGGACCGGCUAAUUACGUGCCAGCAGCCGCGGUAAUACGUAAGGUCCGAGCGUUGUCCGGAAUCAUUGGGCGUAAAGGGUACGUAGGCGGGUAAGCAAGUUAGAAGUGAAAUCCUAUAGCUCAACUAUAGUAAGCUUUUAAAACUGCUCAUCUUGAGGUAUGGAAGGGAAAGGGGAAUUCCUAGUGUAGCGGUGAAAUGCGCAGAUAUGAGGAGGAAUACCGGUGGCGAAGGCGACUUUCUGGCCAUAACCUGACGCUGAGGUACGAAAGCGUGGGUAGCAAACAGG
rnacentral:rRNA from 1 species